CUUAGAGUUUGAUCCUGGCUCAGAACGAACGCUAUCGGUAUGCUUAACACAUGCAAGUCGAACGGACUAAUUGGGGCUUGCUCCAAUUAGUUAGUGGCAGACGGGUGAGUAACACGUGGGAAUCUACCCAUCAGUACGGAAUAACUUUUAGAAAUAAAAGCUAAUACCGUAUAUUCUCUACGGAAGAAAGAUUUAUCGCUGAUGGAUGAGCCCGCGUCAGAUUAGGUAGUUGGUGAGGUAACGGCUCACCAAGCCGACGAUCUGUAGCUGGUCUGAGAGGAUGAUCAGCCACACUGGGACUGAGACACGGCCCAGACUCCUACGGGAGGCAGCAGUGGGGAAUAUUGGACAAUGGGCGAAAGCCUGAUCCAGCAAUACCGAGUGAGUGAUGAAGGCCUUAGGGUUGUAAAGCUCUUUUAGCAAGGAAGAUAAUGACGUUA
rnacentral:rRNA from 1 species